AAACCAGCUCUUCAAGUUGUCGGGACAAUUAUUGAGCUUAAAGUGUCCGUAGCCGGUUUGGUAAGUCCCUGGUUAAAUCUGGUAGCUUAACUAUCAGUAGGCUAGGGAAACUACCUAGCUAGAGGGCGGGAAAGGUCUGAGGUACUCCAGGGGUAGCGGUGAAAUGCGAUAAUCCUUGGGGGACCACCAGUUGCGAAAGCGUCAGACUGGAACGCGCCUGACGGUGAGGGACGAAAGUCAGGGGAGCGAACGGGAAUAGGUACCACGGUAGGUCUGGCUGUAAACGAUGCAUGUUUGGUGUUGGUCGGGCUAUGAGCUGUAUCAGUGCCGUAGGGAAACCGUUUACCGAGCCGCUUGGGAAGUUCGCUCGCAAGAGUGAAACUCACAUGAAUUGUCGGGG
rnacentral:rRNA from 1 species